UACGUAGGGCGCAAGCGUUAUCCGGAAUUAUUGGGCGUAAAGGGCGCGUAGGCGGUGCGGUAAGUCCGCAGUGAAAUCUCUGGGCUCAACUCAGAGUCUGCUGUGGAAACUGCCGUGCUUGAGUGUGGGAGAGGUGAGUGGAAUUCCCGGUGUAGCGGUGAAAUGCGCAGAUAUCGGGAGGAACACCAAUUGCGAAGGCAGCUCGCUGGGACGUUACUGACACUGAGACGCGAAAGCGUGGGGAGCAAACAGGG
rnacentral:rRNA from 1 species